rnacentral:rRNA from 1 species
AGGAUCAUUACCGAGUGCGGGCUGCCUCCGGGCGCCCAACCUCCCACCCGUGACUACCUAACACUGUUGCUUCGGCGGGGAGCCCUCUCGGGGGCGAGCCGCCGGGGACUACUGAACUUCAUGCCUGAGAGUGAUGCAGUCUGAGUCUGAAUAUAAAAUCAGUCAAAACUUUCAACAAUGGAUCUCUUGGUUCCGGCAUCGAUGAAGAACGCAGCGAACUGCGAUAAGUAAUGUGAAUUGCAGAAUUCAGUGAAUCAUCGAGUCUUUGAACGCACAUUGCGCCCCCUGGCAUUCCGGGGGGCAUGCCUGUCCGAGCGUCAUUGCUGCCCAUCAAGCCCGGCUUGUGUGUUGGGUCGUCGUCCCCCCCGGGGGACGGGCCCGAAAGGCAGCGGCGGCACCGUGUCCGGUCCUCGAGCGUAUGGGGCUUUGUCACCCGCUCGAUUAGGGCCGGCCGGGCGCCAGCCGACGUCUCCAACCAUUUUCUUCAGGUUGACCUCGGAUCAGGUAGGGAUACCCGCUGAACUUAAGCAUAUCAAUAAGCGGAGGAA